GACGAACGCUGGCGGCGUGCUUAACACAUGCAAGUCGAACGGUGACCCGGAGCUUGCUCCGGUGAUCAGUGGCGAACGGGUGAGUAACACGUGGGCAACCUGCCCCUGACUCCGGGAUAACUGCUCGAAAGAGCAGCUAAUACCAGAUACGACCACUUCGGGCAUCCGAUGGUGGUGGAAAGUUUUUCGGUCAGGGGAUGGGCCCGCGGCCUAUCAGCUUGAUGGUGGGGUAGUGGCCUACCAUGGCGACGACGGGUAGCCGGCCUGAGAGGGCGACCGGCCACACUGGGACUGAGACACGGCCCAGACUCCUACGGGAGGCAGCAGUGGGGAAUAUUGCGCAAUGGGCGAAAACCUGACGCAGCGACGCCGCGUGAGGGAUGACGGCCUUCGGGUUGUAAACCUCUUUCAGCAGGAGGAAAUUAGACGGUACCUGCAGAAGAAGCACCGGCUAACUAACGUGCCAGCAGCCGCGGUAAU
rnacentral:rRNA from 1 species